rnacentral:rRNA from 1 species
AUUGAACGCUGGCGGCAGGCCUAACACAUGCAAGUCGAGCGGUAGAGAGAAGCUUGCUUCUCUUGAGAGCGGCGGACGGGUGAGUAAUGCCUAGGAAUCUGCCUAGUGGUGGGGGAUAACGUUCGGAAACGGACGCUAAUACCGCAUACGUCCUACGGGAGAAAGCGGGGGACCUUCGGGCCUCGCGCCAUUAGAUGAGCCUAGGUCGGAUUAGCUAGUUGGUGAGGUAAUGGCUCACCAAGGCUACGAUCCGUAACUGGUCUGAGAGGAUGAUCAGUCACACUGGAACUGAGACACGGUCCAGACUCCUACGGGAGGCAGCAGUGGGGAAUAUUGGACAAUGGGCGAAAGCCUGAUCCAGCCACGCCGCGUGUGUGAAGAAGGUCUUCGGAUUGUAAAGCACUUUAAGUUGGGAGGAAGGGUAGUAACUUAAUACGUUGCU